GGGGAAAGGGCAUCACAGAGUAGACAUGGCGUUUAGGUCAGUGUAUUGCUACAAAUUACGAAAGUGUGCCUCUUUUUCUGUCUGAAUUUCCAAAACUUUAUUUCAUCCUCUUCCCUUUCCCAGGUAAAGGAGAGCGCAUAAGGCUGCUCUUCAACUACCAAUAAUAUGUUGUGCUUGUGGAAUAUGUUUCUAGGUGGAAAUUCUGAGGAUUUCUACUGUUCCACUGUCUCAAAGUUUGUAGACAAACAGACUUCCAAUCUCCUCAGUGUGUUGAAGAAGAAAGGAGGCUCUGCAGGAAGGGAACUUCGCAUACUUUUGGCCCACAGAGGAGGGAGAUCAUCCUCAGGGCAAUUGGUUUCUACCUGAUGAAGACCCAAACAUCCUCUUCAAAGAAAACCCGGAUCUGAUGCUAUAGCUGUUCCGAGGGAGCUUGGACAAGUUAUCUGUACAGCAUCCGUGUUGAGGGAGGUGAUGCUACCACUCCUCCAGCUGAUGUUGGGAUUUUCAACACUUUAUAGUGCUAAUAAUUUUACUGUA